rnacentral:tRNA from 1 species
GCCCGGGUAGACAAACUGGCAAAGUCGGCGCUCUUAAAAAGCGCUGCCCGAAAGGGCAUUGCGGGUUCGAGUCCCGCCCCGGGUA